rnacentral:rRNA from 4 species
CCGAGAAGUGUAACUUGUACGCGAGUCAAAGGGUGGAAAACCCCAUGGCGAAAUGAAAGUAAAGGUCGGUUAACCGGCUGACAUGGGAUCCGCUUUUCGAGGCGGCGCACCAUGGCCCUGUCUUGUCUGCUCGCAGAUGGGCAGCGGUAGAGCGUACAGGUUGCGACCCGAAAGAUGGUGAACUAUGCCUGAGCAGGACGAAGUCAGAGGAAACUCUGAUGGAAGUCCGUAUCGGUUCUGACGUGCAAAUCGAUCGAUAGACUUGGGUA